AUGCAUUGGCUUUCAUGGAAGAAACUAGCCACCCCGAAAGAAGCAGGGGGGAUGGGGUUUAGGGAUCUCGAGGCUUUUAAUCUCGCGCUGUUGGGGAAACGCGGCUGGAGGUUCAUGUUACACCCGGAGAGUUUAUGUUCUCGAGUUAUGAAAUCGAGAUACUUCCCAGACUCAGACUUCAUGACUGCUACAAUCCCGAAGACAGAGUCACCUAUCUGGAGGGCGAUUGUUGCAAGCCGCAAGGCGUUGAAGCUUGGGUUGAUCAAGAGGGUGGGAGAUGGUUCCACGAUCUCCAUCUGGGAGGAUAAGUGGAUCCCGGACUCCAUUUUGAUGUCUCCUAUGGUAAAACCCGAUAACACACCUCUUGUUUUAGUGAAUGAGCUAAUUGACCAGGUUAAUUGGACAUGGCAACAUGAGCUUGUUCAUGCAACCUUCCUAGCACCGGAUGCCCAAGCAAUCUUAAAUAUCCCGUUGCGCAAUGGUGGAGGAGAGGAUUUUUUAGCGUGGGCCUUUGAAUCCACUGGAAUCUACACUAUCAAAUCAGCAUACCGUACUCUUGUGACUCACAAAGAGCGACUAGCUCGAGAGGAAGGGAUGGAUAUGGGUACCUCAUAG
rnacentral:rRNA from 1 species